AUUGAAGAUGGCUGCCAAUGAAGUAGCAGGCCUCUCUGCUCAGGUAGAACGGCCAACACAACACCUACAGUACACACACACACCUGAAUACCUGUUAAGCUAUUUAGUGUUCGUGAUAGUAAACGUUAACACAGAUGGCUUCUAGAUGUGGGCAGGGACAGGCAGCAGGAUCCCAGCCCCAGAGAAGACGACAGGAGUGCUCAGACCUCCAGGACACAUACCUACUCCAUGGGGAGCCUAGCCCUCCUCUCAGUAACCUGUCUCUCCAUGCCUCCUGGUGGUCCGGCAGGGACGAGCACAGAGAGACUGGGCCCUCCCUUGGCAUAGCACCCUGCAUCCCACUGCUGGCUUCCAUAGCACCCUGCAUCCCACUGCUGGCUUCCAUAGCACCCUGCAUCCCACUGCUGACUUCCAUAGCACCCUGCAUCCCACUGCUGACUUCCAUAGCACCCUGCAUCCCACUGCUGGCUUCCAUAGCACCCUGCAUCCCACUGCUGGCUUCCAUGGCACCCUGCAUCCCACUGCUGGCUUCCAUGGCACCCUGCAUCCCACUGCUGGCUUCCAUGGCACCCUGCAUCCCACUGCUGGCUUCCUUCUGAAGCUAAGCAGGGUUGGUCCUGGUUGGUCCCUGGAUGGGAGACCAGAUGCUGCUGAAGUGGUGUUGGAGGACCAAUAGCACCCACUCUUUCCUCUGGUCUAAAAAAUAUCCCAAUGCCCCAGGGCAGUGAUUGAGGACAUUGCCCUGUGCUGUCUUUCAGAUGGGACGUAUGUACCUCGGCCUAAACAUCAGCGCCACAGGAGCAACUGGUUGAGAGAAAUCAGCACGUUGCCAGACUACAGGAUUCACUGAGACGCGAGCGAGAGAAGGGUUCCAGCCUGCAGUCUCGGUGUAAACAGCAGGGGUCAGAGUUGAGGCGUCGAGAGCAGCACAGCGCCAGACUGAAGGAGAGACUAACCCAACUUGCAGAGAGACACAGAGAGAGAGGAGCCUCCAUGGAGCUGUUGAACCCGUUGCCCAGAGGUCAGGUGAAGAGGGACAGACCAGCCAAGACCAACGGAAGGAAGGAGGAGGCAGCGCUACGUGUGAUGCUGGAGCGGCGAGAGGCGGAGUUAGACCCUAUUGGACACUGUGGGUGACCAGGAAGAGGACAGAGACAACGCCAAGAUGCUGGUCCAGUCAGAGGAGUCCCUGGGCGACCAUGUGACAGGGGGUGUGGUCCAGGGAUGGAAGAGUGUGCAGAGGAGACUAGGGGACCUCCUGAGUCAGGGUCACGUGGCUGUGGGGACUGACCAGGAUAAGCUCUUGGCCCAGCUAGAGACAGAGUUGGAUCAGAGUCAACAGCUGGUCAAACUGCAGCCGCAUCUACUACAGCCGCUCUGACAGACUGCUACUUCCUGGAAGAGUGGGAGCGGCUUCAGAGCAUCUGGGCGGAGCUAGAACACCAGAAGCGGAGCUUCCAUAGGGAGAGACGGGCCUUCACCGAUGCCGCCAUCCGAUUGGGCCACGAGAGGCGUGAGUUUGAGCAGCAGAGGGCCUGUGUGGUGAAGCAGCAGUAUCUGUUUGACUCUCCGUUUGGGGAAAACGUUGCAGCGUCACAACAGGAGAGAGAGCACCAUCCUCAAUCUCUCAGAUUCUGAUCACAUGAUCCUGUCCGGCUGCCGCCAGGCCACGCCCUCCUCUGGGAUCAUGCCCUGGUUAGGGUCAUCGGGGUCUCUGCAGGUUCAUGGCAGGGUCAAAGUUUGCACCCCAGAGCUCUACUCUGCCCUCCAACUGCAGGUCCAGUGAGAGUGAUGCUCAGUCAGAGUGCUGGGAUGUGCUGGCAGAGAGGCUCCAGUUCGCCGCCACUGGUACUCGCCUGGACUGGUCAUUUCAGUAGGAUGGCUGUUUCUGUCGUUUCCAUUGUAUGUUUGUAUAAUAUUGUCUGUUUCAGUUGUUCCUUUGUUUCUAUUGUGUUUGAUGAAAUCGUUUUUCAAUGUGAUUAAUAAAGAUUAAU
rnacentral:lncRNA from 1 species